UACGUAGGGCGCAAGCGUUAUCCGGAAUUAUUGGGCGUAAAGGGCUCGUAGGCGGUUUGUCGCGUCGGGAGUGAAAACACUGGGACUUAACCGAGUGCCUUGCUUUCGAUACGGGGCAGGACUUGAGGCAUUGAGGGGAGAACGGAAUUCCUGGUGUGAGCGGUGAAAUGACGCAGAUAUCAGGAGGAACACCGGUGCGAAGGCGGUUCUCUGGCAAUGUUCUGACGCUGAGGAGCGAAAGUGUGGGGAGGCGAACAGG
rnacentral:rRNA from 1 species